UUCUUUCUCUCCUUCUUCUCUUAUUCAUUUUUCUUUUAUUUUGGAACCAAUCUUUGAAACAAGGUUUCUCUCUCAAUUCUUACCGGAUUUAGGUGCCAUUUGAGGCAAAACGAAGCCCACAACGAGCUCUACGCACUAGUACGAACAAUUUUAGAUUCGGCGCUUCCUAGGGAGUUCGAAAUUAGAGACCCAUUUUGAGGGUUUUCGCAUUUGAAGAGGAAAUGGGAAAGAAGUGGCGGAUGAAAAUCCCCCGCAAGCUUGAAGAAGAUUAGGAGUUGUAUUUUGUUAUCUUUUGUAUCUUAGCCCAUUUUUUUGGUAUAGUCUCAAAACUAAAAUGUCGUGUAUUCAUUUUUGCAAGCUAAGGUAGUGUAUUAUAAAUCAUAACUCUUGUUGAUAUUUUGAAGGGAAACAAGACUAUGUAAAUGAUUAAGUUGAAAAGGAUGACGAUGAUGGGCUAACUUGGGGAGGUUGUUGAUGUUGUGGUAUUGGGGAAUGUAUUAUAUUUCUUUUGUAUUGUGUGUUGGGACAGGUUGGAUAGGUCUUGAAAGGUCAUCGUAUUUUUUUUUUUUUUUUUUU